AUUGAACGCUGGCGGCAUGCUUUACACAUGCAAGUCGAACGGUAACAGGCCUUCGGGUGCUGACGAGUGGCGAACGGGUGAGUAAUGCAUCGGAACGUGCCCAGAGGUGGGGGAUAACGCAGCGAAAGCUGUGCUAAUACCGCAUGUGAUCUGAGGAUGAAAGCGGGGGACCAGGCAGCAAUGUUUGGCCUCGCGCCUUUGGAGCGGCCGAUGUCAGAUUAGGUAGUUGGUGCGGUAAAGGCCUACCAAGCCGACGAUCUGUAGCUGGUCUGAGAGGACGACCAGCCACACUGGGACUGAGACACGGCCCAGACUCCUACGGGAGGCAGCAGUGGGGAAUUUUGGACAAUGGGCGCAAGCCUGAUCCAGCAAUGCCGCGUGCGGGAAGAAGGCCUUCGGGUUGUAAACCGCUUUUGUACGGAACGAAAAGGCUCUGGCUAAUACCUGGGGCUGAUGACGGUACCGUAAGAAUAAGCACCGGCUAACUACGUG
rnacentral:rRNA from 1 species